rnacentral:rRNA from 1 species
UAAUAGCGGAGAAGAUACACCUGUUUCCAUUCCGAACACAGAAGUUAAGUUCUCUAGCGCUGAUGGUACUUGGUGGGAAACUGCCUGGGAGAGUAGGACAU